CGCAGGCGAGUGCCGUGCUUGGCAUCGGCGUGUGCGACGCGUUUGCUGCGUUAUCUGCGCAGCGCCGGUGUGUGGCCGGCGCCUGCGCC
rnacentral:tRNA from 1 species